GGGCAGGUAGCUCAGUGGGAGAGCACCGCACUGAAGCUGCGGGUGUCGGGAGUUCGAUUCUCUCCCUGCCCA
rnacentral:tRNA from 1 species